UCCUAGUUAGCUCAGUUGGUAGCGCGCUCCACUGGAAAAGGAGAGAGGUCCCUGGUUCGAUGCCAGGAACAGACA
rnacentral:tRNA from 1 species